CCUACGGGAGGCAGCAGUGGGGAAUCUUGCGCAAUGGGCGAAAGCCUGACGCAGCAACGCCGCGUGCGGGAAGAAGGCUUUCGGGCUGUAAACCGCUUUCAGCAGGAACGAAAAUGACGGUACCUGCAGAAGAAGGAGCGGCCAACUAUGUGCCAGCAGCCGCGGUGAUACAUAGACUUCAAGCGUUGUCCGGAUUUAUUGGGCGUAAAGAGUUCGUAGGCGGUCAAGUAAGUCGGGUGUGAAAAUUCUGGGCUCAACCCAGAGACGCCACCCGAUACUGCUUAACUUGAGUUCGAUAGGGGAGUGGGGAAUUCCUAGUGUAGCGGUGAAAUGCGCAGAUAUUAGGAGGAACACCGGUGGCGAAGGCGCCACUCUGGAUCGAUACUGACGCUGAGGAACGAAAGCAUGGGUAGCAAACAGGAUUAGAUACCCUGGUAGUCCAUGCCGUAAACGGUGGGCACUAGGUGUGGGUUUCUAUUAACGAAAUCCGCGCCGUCGCUAACGCAUUAAGUGCCCCGCCUGGGGGAGGUACGGUCGCGAGACUAAACUACAAGAAGUAGACGGCGNGAGACGUGCCGACGGACGACGACGAGGGAGGUAGG
rnacentral:rRNA from 1 species